rnacentral:rRNA from 1 species
GACGAACGCUGGCGGCGCGCCUAACACAUGCAAGUCGAACGAGCGAGAGAGAGCUUGCUUUCUCGAGCGAGUGGCGAACGGGUGAGUAACGCGUGAGGAACCUGCCUCAAAGAGGGGGACAACAGUUGGAAACGACUGCUAAUACCGCAUAAGCCCACGACCCGGCAUCGGGUUGAGGGAAAAGGAGCAAUCCGCUUUGAGAUGGCCUCGCGUCCGAUUAGCUAGUUGGUGAGGUAAUGGCCCACCAAGGCGACGAUCGGUAGCCGGACUGAGAGGUUGAACGGCCACAUUGGGACUGAGACACGGCCCAGACUCCUACGGGAGGCAGCAGUGGGGAAUAUUGCACAAUGGGGGAAACCCUGAUGCAGCGACGCCGCGUGGAGGAAGAAGGUCUUCGGAUUGUAAACUCCUGUUGUUGAGGAAGAUAAUGACGGUACUCAACAAGGAAGUGACGGCUAACUACGUGCCAGCAGCCGCGGUAAAACGUAGGUCACAAGCGUUGCCCGGAAUUACUGGGUGUAAAGGGAGCGCAGGCGGGAAGACAAGUUGGAAGUGAAAUCUAUGGGCUCAACCCAUAAACUGCUUUCAAAACUGUUUUUCUUGAGUAGUGCAGAGGUAGGCGGAAUUCCCGGUGUAGCGGUGGAAUGCGUAGAUAUCGGGAGGAACACCAGUGGCGAAGGCGGCCUACUGGGCACCAACUGACGCUGAGGCUCGAAAGUGUGGGUAGCAAACAGGAUUAGAUACCCUGGUAGUCCACACC